GGCGGAUGUAGCCAAGUGGAUUAAGGCAGUGRAUUUGUGAAUCCA
rnacentral:tRNA from 1 species